AGCCUAUACAGGUGUUGCAUGGCUGUCGUCAGCUCGUGUCGUGAGAUGUUCGGUUAAGUCCGCUAACGAGCGCAACCCUCGUCGUAUGUUAUAUGUGUCAUACGAGACUGCCGGUAAAAGACCGGAGGAAGGUGAGGAUGAUGUCAAGUCAGCAUGACCUUUAUAUCCAGGGCUACACACGUGUUACAAUGGCCAGUACAAAGGGCAGCUACCGGGUGACCGGAUGCUAAUCUCUAAAGCUGGUCUCAGUUCGGAUCGAAGUCUGCAACCCGACUUCGUGAAGCUGGAUUCGCUAGUAAUCGCGCAUCAGCCAUGGCGCGGUGAAUACGUUCCCGGGCCUU
rnacentral:rRNA from 1 species